CAUCAUUUUGAACUAGGAACAACUACAACAAUUAAGUGUGAUGGAGACAAAAAUGCUAAGGUUUAGUAUGUUCCUUCUGUUUCUAGUCUUAGCCGCAGAUGUUGCGGUGAAGACAACAGAAGCAAAAGAAUGUUGGCAAGCAAGUCUGACAUUCAAGGGUGUAUGCAUAAUCAGCGGCAACUGUGCAAAAACAUGCAUUAGCGAAGGUGAAACUGGUGGCAAAUGUAGAGGCUUCCCUCCCCACUGCGACUGUUACUACAUUUGUUGAAAUUAAUUCACUCGUUGUUCCUUUUUUCAUUAAUAAAAGUCUAGUAUGUAGUCAUUUUCGGCUCGGGUUAUCAAAUUUAUUAAUUAAUAAGAACAUUUAAAUAUGUCUUUCUUCAA